CGGAUUGCAGGCUGCAACUCGCCUGCAUGAAGCUGGAAUUGCUAGUAAUCGCGGAUCAGCAAGCCGCGGUGAAUACGUUCCCGGGCCUUGUACACACCGCCCGUCACACCAUGAGAGUCGGGAACACCCGAAGUCCGUAGUCUAACCGCAAGGGGGGCGCGGCCGAAGGUGGGUCCGGUAAUUGGGUGAAGUCGUAACAAGGUAUC
rnacentral:rRNA from 1 species